UACGUAGGGGGCUAGCGUUGCUCGGAAUUACUGGGCGUAAAGGGUGCGUAGGCGGGUCUUUAAGUCAGGGGUGAAAUCCUGGAGCUCAACUCCAGAACUGCCUUUGAUACUGAAGAUCUUGAGUUCGGGAGAGGUGAGUGGAACUGCGAGUGUAGAGGUGAAAUUCGUAGAUAUUCGCAAGAACACCAGUGGCGAAGGCGGCUCACUGGCCCGAUACUGACGCUGAGGCACGAAAGCGUGGGGAGCAAACAGG
rnacentral:rRNA from 1 species